CCUACGGGAGGCAGCANUGGGGAAUUUUGGACAAUGGGGGAAACCCUGAUCCAGCAAUGCCGCGUGAGUGAAGUAGGCCUUCGGGUUGUAAAGCUCUUUUGUCAGGGAAGAAACACCGGCUCUAACACAGUCCGGGAAUGACGGUACCUGAAGAAUAAGCACCGGCUAACUACGUGCCAGCAGCCGCGGUAAUACGUAGGGUGCGAGCGUUAAUCGGAAUUACUGGGCGUAAAGCGUGCGCAGGCGGUUAUACAAGACAGGCGUGAAAUCCCCGGGCUUAACCUGGGAAUGGCGCCUGUGACUGUAUAGCUAGAGUGUGUCAGAGGGGGGUAGAAUUCCACGUGUAGCAGUGAAAUGCGUAGAUAUGUGGAGGAAUACCAAUGGCGAAGGCAGCCCCGCUGGGAUAACACUCGACGCUCAUGCACGAAAGCGUGGGGAGCAAACAGGAUUAGAUACCCCUGGUAGUCCACGCCCUAAACGAUGGAUGAAC
rnacentral:rRNA from 1 species